AUGAUUGAUUUUCUUAAAUGACGUCUCAAGCAACGUUGUUUUAUUCUGCCAUCUGACUAUAGAAAGUUAAACUCUUGUAACAAAUAUUGAAGUUUAUUAUUAUAUGCCUAUAUGGCAAUUGUGUACUGUAUCUUUGCACAUGAUCAAAGUAAUGAUUUACGAAUUUAAUUUACGAAUCGUACACCGAUUAAAUUUGGGAUGAUUAUCGAUGCUUUUAUUGUGUGACGCGCAUGAGAUGACAAAAAAUUUGCAAGCAUAAUAGGCAGGUCUGUUAUCCUCAAUAAUUUGUCUGCCUUUUCGGCACGUUUUACGUGUUCUUUCUCGUAUUUUCUUUUAUUGCGAAAUGUAACUUUGUGCAAUUGUACCUUAAGAGCCUGCGAAGACAUUUAAAUGUUUCAGAAAACUUUAAUUUCUGUUUGAGAAGUUGUACUGAUGAAACAAUAAUGAAAAUGUUUCUUAAUCCAAAGCAAUUGGAUAAUCAAAUCAUUAAUUUGAUACAGCUGAGAGAGAUACAGGAAUCUGCUGCACACGUUGUAUCUCAAAAGUUACAUGUCACAGAGAAUCUAGUGGCUAGAUUAGGCUUGGAGAAGGAAUUAAGUGGACAUGGAGGCUGUGUUAAUUGUUUAGAAUGGAACGAGACUGGAGAAAUCUUGGCUUCUGCAUCCGAUGAUGUACAUGUGAUAUUAUGGGAUGCUUUUCGGUAUCAGAAAAAAUUGGUUUUACAUGCUGGUCACAAUGGAAACAUUUUUUCUGUAAAGUUUAUGCCAAAAUCGAAUGACAGUAUCCUGGUGUCAGGUGCAGCGGACUGUAGGAUCCGGGUACACGAUCUAGUACGGUCUGAUACUAUUCUGGCAUGUAAUUGUCACACUGGCCGUGUUAAACGUAUAGCAACAGCACCCAGCGUACCGUUUCUCUUCUGGAGUGCAGCUGAGGACGGGUUGAUAUUGCAAUACGACAUUCGGGUGCCGCACAAUUGCAAUGCUAAUGAUCGCAAAUCCGUCCUUGUUAAUCUUUCAAAUCAUUUGGGUCGCUAUGCAGAGGCAAAAUGCAUCUCAAUAAAUCCAAGACGACCUGAGUUAAUAGCUGUUGGGGCAAACGAUGCAUACAUAAGAAUGUACGACAGAAGAAUGAUAAAACUUGCAUCGCUGCAGGUCCCAGCAAGUGCUUCACCACGUACCAAUUGGGACGGAGUAAACGUCAAUGGCCAACGUGCUGGCGAAGGCGAUCCAGAAAACAAUAUCCCACUGGAAUCUGCACAGUACUUUAUUGCUGGUCAUCUACAUAAUCAUAAUCGUGAUCACAACAGAACUCUGACUGCUACGUACUUGACAUUUAGUGCUGAUGGAAAUGAAUUACUCGUUAAUAUGGGUGGUGAACAAAUUUACUUGUUCGAUAUCAAUAACCAACACAAUUCAAGACUAUUUGCUCCUCCGCAGAACGUCAAAUUUUCAGAUACUUGUUGGACAGAUACAUUGAAGGACUGUGUAAACUCAAACAAUAAAACAACAGAAGAUUAUUCAUUGAGAAAUACAAAAGUUUUACCACCCCAUGUCGAAGCUAUCAAGUUACAAGCUAACGAGGGAUUCGAACAACAAAAAUACACAUUGGCAAUUAAUUUAUACAACAAAGCCAUCAGCCAUUGCUCCACUGCAGCUAUGCUUUAUGCUAACAGGGCAGCGGCACUUAUGAAAAGAGCAUGGGAUAGUGAUGUAUACGCUGCGUUCCGUGACUGUCGUAUGACAUUACUCUUAGAUCCGGAGCACGUCAAGGCACAUUUCAGACUUGCACGCUGUCUAAUUGAUUUAAACCGUCCAGCAGAGGCGUGCAAAGCAAUUGAAAGUUUUCAAGAAAAGUUUCCAGAAUAUAUAACAAAUUCAGCAUUCCGUGCUUUGAAGAAAGACAUCAAGGAAGCUAUGAACACUGGAGAAGAAUCAACAAGGACCAAUCAUCCAUCAUUACAAAUGAUUUCAACGCACGAACAAGAAUGGCGUCGCAAUACAAUUGAUUACAAAUUGAGAUUCUGCGGUCACUGCAAUACAACAACCGACAUAAAAGAGGCCAAUUUUUUUGGAAACUAUGGACAAUACAUAGUGGCUGGUUCAGACGAUGGUUCAUUCUUCAUAUGGGAUCGUAAAACAACAAACAUUGUUCGCGUAUUGCAAGGUGACGGAAGUAUAGUAAAUUGUCUUCAACCACAUCCUUCGACAUGCCUUCUAGCAACUAGUGGUAUCGACACAGUCAUCAGAUUAUGGAGUCCGUUGCCAGAGGAUGGAAGUGUCAAUGAGCGAGAAAUUCUAAAUCUAGACGAUGCCGCAUCUGCCAAUCAAAUCCGUAUGAAUAGCGACCCGUUCGAGUUGAUGCUGAUGAAUUUGGGCUACCGAUUUCCAGGACAACACGCUGCCGGCGACGAGGACAGCGACGAGUCUCAGGAACCACGUGUUGCUCAAGCAUUAAAUUGUAGACCAAGUUAAAGAUUCGUUCAUUCUCGAUUCAAGGUUUUUGGGAAUCCCGUGGGUUUAUAAGACUUUUGAAACUAUGGUAAACGCAUAAAUCUAAAGCGUUAUUCAAUUUAAUUCCUUUUCUUACUUGCUUAACAUUGUCCUCUUCCUAUAUUUAUCGCCUUUUGCCGAUAACAUUUAAAUACGUUCCAUAUAUUUUAAAAGGUUGUACGAUGUUAGAGAGAAUCUUCAAGUCACGCAAUAUUUCACUUCAAUAACGUAAAGAAACCUCACGAUUAUUUAAUUUAAUACUGUGCAUAGAAAGCGCAUGUAUCCAUUUAAUAUUAUUCUAGCCUUAUGUAAAAGUCUAUAUAUCAAUAACUCACGCUUUUAACUAGCUGGUAGUAACUCCCAAAGUGUUUGCAGAGUGCUGCCUUCUUUUGGUUCCUCAACAGCGAGACCCAAAUAGUUUGAGAAUUUUGGUUCUCUUUGUUGCUGUCCACCAUCUGAGAAAUACAAGCCGAACACUGCAUAGCUCAACAGUCAUUAAAUAAUUACGUGGAAAUUCUCACCUGAUGCUCAAAGGUGUACUCUACUCCAAAAAUUGGAGAUCUCUUAUAAGUGGCAAGAAGCGCUGUUAUUUCCUUGUGCAAAAAGUUAAGUUUCUCAAUGGAAUCCAUACGAAAUCCCAAAACGUAGCCGCCGUUGGCUUCAUUGCUGGUGACGACAAGCACAGUACCGAAUUUCGAAGUUCUUAUAUUGGUCUGGCAGAAGCAGCGAAAAAAAAAAAUACAAAAUCAAAAUGAUAAGUAAAAUAAGAAACGAAUUUUCUGCCAAUUUUACUUUUGUUCUAAUUAUCAUAAUUAUCAUCAUGUUAAUUGAAAUGAUUUAAGUAUUAUAUGCAAUAUGUUUGACUUACGCUGGCGACGGUAAUGUAAGGCACGGACACAUUGAAUUGAUGAUUCAUAUCCGCGAACCAUACAAGUCUUAUAUUUGUUACUAUAAAGGUACCGACGUUUCCCUGAAAACAAAAAAAAAACAAUAUUGUUUCUAUGAGAAGGAUGUGUUAUGAGUAAGAUUAUCAUGUCUGUUAUCAUCGUGUACAUCACGUGCAUCGAACUGAUAUAAGAUGCAAUAAAAAGUCUUAUUUAUUAUCCUGUUAUCACUUGAAUAUUUUGCGCUUUAUACGCCAUAGAACAGUGCAGGUGAAUUAAAAAGUUUGACAGAGGCAA